rnacentral:rRNA from 1 species
GAUAAACGCUGGCGGCGUGCCUAAUACAUGCAAGUCGAGCGAACGGACGAGAAGCUUGCUUCUCUGAUGUUAGCGGCGGACGGGUGAGUAACACGUGGAUAACCUACCUAUAAGACUGGGAUAACUUCGGGAAACCGGAGCUAAUACCGGAUAAUAUUUUGAACCGCAUGGUUCAAAAGUGAAAGACGGUCUUGCUGCCACUUAUAGAUGGAUCCGCGCUGCAUUAGCUAGUUGGUAAGGUAACGGCUUACCAAGGCAACGAUGCAUAGCCGACCUGAGAGGGUGAUCGGCCACACUGGAACUGAGACACGGUCCAGACUCCUACGGGAGGCAGCAGUAGGGAAUCUUCCGCAAUGGGCGAAAGCCUGACGGAGCAACGCCGCGUGAGUGAUGAAGGUCUUCGGAUCGUAAAACUCUGUUAUUAGGGAAGAACAUAUGUGUAAGUAACUGUGCACAUCUUGACGGUACCUAAUCAGAAAGCCACGGCUAACUACGUGCCAGCAGCCGCGGUAAUACGUAGGUGGCAAGCGUUAUCCCGGAUUUAUGGGCGUAAGCGCGCGUAGGCGGUUUUUUAAGUCUGAUGUGAAAGCCCACGGCUCAAUCGUGGAGGGUCAUUGGAAACUGGAAAACUUGAGUGCAGAAGAGGAAAGUGGAAUUCCAUGUGUAGCGGUGAAAUGCGCAGAGAUAUGGAGGAACACCAGUGGCGAAGGCGACUUUCUGGUCUGUAACUGACGCUGAUGUGCGAAAGCGUGGGGAUCAAACAGGAUUAGAUACCCUGGUAGUCCACGCCGUAAACGAUGAGUGCUAAGUGUUAGGGGGUUUCCGCCCCUUAGUGCUGCAGCUAACGCAUUAAGCACUCCGCCUGGGGAGUACGACCGCAAGGUUGAAACUCAAAGGAAUUGACGGGGACCCGCACAAGCGGUGGAGCAUGUGGUUUAAUUCGAAGCAACGCGAAGAACCUUACCAAAUCUUGACAUCCUUUGACAACUCUAGAGAUAGAGCCUUCCCCUUCGGGGGACAAAGUGACAGGUGGUGCAUGGUUGUCGUCAGCUCGUGUCGUGAGAUGUUGGGUUAAGUCCCGCAACGAGCGCAACCCUUAAGCUUAGUUGCCAUCAUUAAGUUGGGCACUCUAAGUUGACUGCCGGUGACAAACCGGAGGAAGGUGGGGAUGACGUCAAAUCAUCAUGCCCCUUAUGAUUUGGGCUACACACGUGCUACAAUGGACAAUACAAAGGGCAGCGAAACCGCGAGGUCAAGCAAAUCCCAUAAAGUUGUUCUCAGUUCGGAUUGUAGUCUGCAACUCGACUACAUGAAGCUGGAAUCGCUAGUAAUCGUAGAUCAGCAUGCUACGGUGAAUACGUUCCCGGGUCU